GCCGGUGAAGAUGACACUGAGGCCACACCUGUUCCCAUCCCGAACACAGAAGUUAAGCUCAGUUGUGCCGAAAGUACUUGUCUGGUGACGGACUGGGAGGAUAGGUUUCGCCGGCU
rnacentral:rRNA from 1 species